rnacentral:rRNA from 1 species
AUUGAACGCUGGCGGCAGGCCUAACACAUGCAAGUCGAGCGAGCGGCGGACGGGUGAGUAAUGUAUGGGGACCGCCCGAUAGAGGGGGAUAACUACUGGAAACGGUGGCUAAUCCCGCAUAAUGUCGGAUACCCCAUAUGGGAUUAGCUAGUAGGUCAGGUAAUGGCUUACCUAGGCGACGAUCCCUAGAUGGUCUGAGAGGAUGAUCAGCCACACGGGGGAUGAGGCAAGGCCCCGACUCCUACGGAGGCAGGAGUGGGGAAUAUUGCGCAAUGGGCGCAAGCCUGGUGCAGCCAUGCCGCGUGUAUGAAGAAGGCCUUAGGGUUGUAAAGUACUUUCUGUCGGAGGGAGUUACCGAAAGAAGAAGCACCGGCUAACUCCGUGCCAGGAGCCGCGGUAAUAC